UCCGAGAAACGUUUCCAUUGCUGGUUGAUGAAAAUGAAGGUGGCUAUUAUCUUAUUAGCUGUUUGCGGUCUUGCGAUGGCAACACCACCUGUUGAUUUUGUCACCGUUAAACCAAUUCCUGGCGUUCCACCAAUGGCUCCAGAAGGCAAAUGAGGGUAGAUUUUGUUUAAAAAAAUUUUUACUUGUGGGACUGAGCCACCCAAAGAAAUAUUGCAAAUAAAGACAGAAAAUAUGAUAAAAACAAAAAACAAUUAUAUCUCUUCUUUACAACACCUUGUACUACUUUCAAGUACAAGAAAU
ensembl:ncRNA lncRNA:CR44389 long non-coding RNA:CR44389